ACACGUAGGAGGGCAAACGUUAUCCGGAUUUACUGGGCGUAAAGCGCGUGUAGGUGGUUUGGUAAGUAGAGCGUGAAAGCUCCUGGCUCAACUGGGAGAGGUCGUUCUAAACUGCCGGACUAGAGGAUGGUAGAGGGAGGUGGAAUUCCGGGUGUAGCGGUGGAAUGCGCAGAUAUCCGGAGGAACACCAGUGGCGAAAGCGGCCUCCUGGACCACUCCUGACACUCAGACGCGAAAGCUAGGGUAGC
rnacentral:rRNA from 1 species